UUAAAUUCAUAUUUAUUGAAAAACAUUUUCAAUAAAUUUUAUUUUAUAUAUACAUUUUAAAAUUAUGUUGCGAAUGUCUUAAGGUUCAUUUUGUUAAAAUUCAUCAUUAUUGAGCGGAAUUAAAACAGGAACCAAAUUAACUUUUACCGGGCGCCCAUUUAUUUUGGACUUCGGAUUAAGUACAACAUUUAUUUUAAAUGUACAAUAUAUAUAUAUAUAUAUAUACGCNUGGCGCAUUUUCNGGCAAAAGGGUUAAAAAAAGCCUUCCNUCAAAAUCCCUUUUAUAUAUUUAUAUAAUAUUUAGCGUAUUUUUANUUACNCAUUUUUAGGCAAAAGGGUUAAAAAAGCCUUCCNUCAAAAUCCCUUUUUAAGUUAUGCACUU
rnacentral:misc_RNA from 1 species